rnacentral:rRNA from 1 species
UACGGGGGGGGCAAGCGUUGUUCGGAAUUACUGGGCGUAAAGGGCUCGUAGGCGGCCAACUAAGUCAGACGUGAAAUCCCUCGGCUUAACCGGGGAACUGCGUCUGAUACUGGAUGGCUUGAGUUUGGGAGAGGGAUGCGGAAUUCCAGGUGUAGCGGUGAAAUGCGUAGAUAUCAGGAGGAACACCGGUGGCGAAGGCGGGUCUCUGGGCAGUAACUGACGCUGAGGAGCGAAAGCGUGGGGAGCGAACAGG